UACGAAGGGGGCUAGCGUUGCUCGGAAUCACUGGGCGUAAAGCGCACGUAGGCGGAUCGUUAAGUCAGGGGUGAAAUCCUGGAGCUCAACUCCAGAACUGCCUUUGAUACUGGCGACCUUGAGUUCGGGAGAGGUGAGUGGAACUGCGAGUGUAGAGGUGAAAUUCGUAGAUAUCGGGAGGAACACCGGUGGCGAAGGCGGCGAUCUGGGUCGAUACUGACGCUGAGGUGCGAAAGCGUGGGGAGCAAACAGG
rnacentral:rRNA from 1 species